AGAGCGCGCAAUUACACCAACACCGAUGACAUCUUACUAUGCAAUACUUGGUUGCAAGUGUCGAGGGAUCCAUACGUUGGAGGUGAUCAAAGUAGAGAUGCUUAUUGGGGGUGGAUGAAAGAACACUUUGAUGUUCACAACGUGAGUGGAAUUGACCGCUCUGAGAGAUCACUUCGGUCCCGAUGGUCGACAAUCAACUCGGAUUGUCAAAGGUGGGCGACCUGUCAAAAGGCGGUUGACAAGUUGAACCCAAGUGGCACAAAUGAGGACGAUAGAGUAAGUGAAGAGGAGAGGAAAACCAAGAAGGGAAAGAUCAAGAAAGGAAGGGUCUUUACCUUGCCCCAUUGCUAUAACGUGUUGAAGGAUGAUGAGAAAUGGAAGAAGCGUGAAGAUUUGGAUGAUUUGCAUUUGAGCAACAAACGCAAGCGAACAAUUGAGUUGGAUGAUGAUGAGGAGGAGGAUGAUGCAUCAAGUGAUGACGGUAACAGAAGCCCCACACCCAACUCGGUUUCAUACUCGAAGCCAAAACGACCGGAUGGGUGCAAGAAAGACAAAACAGAAAAGAAGAAGAGGAAAGGAGAUGAUGAGCUCAAAAAUGCUAUGGAAGCUAUUGUGAAGGCAAGAAAAGAAGCCAACGAGGUCAGGAAAAUGGCAAGGAACCAAGAUGCCGCGGCCGAGGAGAGGAGGUUGGCGGCCGAGGAGAGGAAGGUGAGCAAUGAGGAGCGAACUAGAUUGUUGGAAUGGGAGAAGCACUUGUUCUUCUUGGACACAUCUAACCUCAAUGAGGCGCAAAAGGAGUAUGUCAAUCUUGCCCGUGAAGAAGUCUUG
rnacentral:rRNA from 1 species